AUAUAUGCCCCCUGGUUCGGAAUAACCCCGGGAAACUGGGGCUAAUACCGGAUGGUUCCUUCGGGAUAAAGAUUUAUUGCCAAAAGAUGAGUCCGCGUACGAUUAGCUAGUUGGUGAGGUAAUGGCUCACCAAGGCGACGAUUGUUAGCUGGUUUGAGAGGACGAUCAGCCACACUGGGACUGAGACACGGCCCAGACUCCUACGGGAGGCAGCAGUGGGGAAUAUUGGACAAUGGGGGCAACCCUGAUCCAGCCAUGCCGCGUGAGUGAUGAAGGCCUUCGGGUUGUAAAGCUCUUUUGGCGGGGACGAUGAUGACGGUACCCGCAGAAUAAGCCCCGGCUAACUUCGUGCCAGCAGCCGCGGUAAGACGAAGGGGGCUAGCGUUGUUCGGAAUUACUGGGCGUAAAGCGCGUGUAGGCGGUUUUCCAAGUUGGGUGUGAAAGCCUUGGGCUUAACCCAAGAAAUGCACUCAGUACUGGAAGACUAGAGGACCGGAGAGGAUAGUGGAAUUCCCAGUGUAGUGGUGAAAUACGUAGAGAUUGGGAAGAACACCAGUGGCGAAGGCGGCUAUCUGGACGGUUC
rnacentral:rRNA from 1 species